CAACCGGCCACUGGAUCUCCUUUUGGAUGUCAAACACAGGAGAAAAGCAGAGGCCCUGAACUCUGGAAAUGGAUUAUCCAGUGGUACCCACCUUCCCUUGCAGUCCAGGAAUAAAUGUGUGACCCUGGCCUGACAGAUCUUAAACCUGUAUGUCCUGAGCUACCACAUCAGUCAGAAGCAUACCUUUCUUUUUCUUUACAGGCAUCUCUAAGGUAAGUACUGACUCAUUUAUGUGGGAAAUUUGUCUGACUUCCAAAGGACAAUGAGACAGCUGAAGAUACUUCUUAGAGAGGUGUAUUCACUUGAGUAAUAUAGCAAAAUACUGAAAUAGAAACUUCAUCUCUUGGGACACAUACUUCUGAUGAAAAACAAAUACAUUAGGCUGUGCAGUCAGAUUCAUACACAUUCAGUUUCCUGGAAUUGCCAAGACAUGUCAAGCUGUUAAUCAUGUUCUGAAGAUCAUCUGCUGAGUCCAACACUUCAUUUUAGUAGGAAGUGUCAUUGCUGAGGGUUGAGUUUUGCAUUCCUUUCUCCAGCAAAACUUCCAGCAGAGGUUUUUGCUAAGCAAAGUCAACAGGAUGUUAUACAAUAGUGCGUAUUCAUGCGGUUAAUUCUUUUCUCUCUCUUCACUCUCGACACACACACAAAAAAAAGUUGGAUAUAGUGAGAAAGAAAGGAGUACUGCAAAAGAGAAUAGCAUGGCAGUGAUGGUA
rnacentral:lncRNA from 1 species